rnacentral:rRNA from 1 species
CGUGGGUAACCUGCCAAGAGACUGGGAUAACACCUGGAAACAGAUGCUAAUACCGGAUAACAACACUAGACGCAUGUCUAGAGUUUAAAAGAUGGUUCUGCAAUCACUCUUGGAUGGACCUGCGGUGCAUUAGCUAGUUGGUAAGGUAACGGCUUACCAAGGCAAUGAUGCAUAGCCGAGUUGAGAGACUGAUCGGCCACAUUGGGACUGAGACACGGCCCAAACUCCUACGGAAGGCAGCAG